AGUCCAUCACUUGCAGACAGACGUUUGGAGCUCUAGCAUACAGGACACUUUUAAGAGAUACUUGAUAAAGAGCUUGAAAAUCCUACAGAGCAACCAGGCCUGGGGCCCCCAUCCAGCAAAUGCAGAAAGGAGGUGGAGGAAGCCCAUUUCCCAGAGAGCUUACGGCUGCAACCAGGACCACAGGUAGCUCUGACCAAACUGAACGUUCUGCUGAGUAAAAUGAAAACCACAAUCAACAGCAGAGGGAGAUUCCAUCAUCCCUGCAGAUAACUUUUUGAUUAGAUAAAGACCUAAGAAAACUCCUCUGGCAGAGAAGAUGGCAAUCAAAUGCGGAAAUCUUCAUUGUAUAGAGCACCCUGGGGUUUGUUAAAUAUCUGCAGAUCUGCUUGUUGUAAGUGACAAUGUUUACUCUUGCAAGUGAAUUCCAACAUCGCCUGGCUUCCUUGGGGUUUAAUCUCAGCCUUUUUUUGUUUCUCUGAUUAGUUGGAAACUGUAGCAGGUCAUCCUGGCUCUUUGAAGAAUGAAGGGUCUCAUUCCAGGGUGAGGCCCAACGAAUUUGUGAAUGAAUGAAAAGUUAAUUGAGGAAAAGGGUAGAGCAUACUUCAGUCAUAGUUAAUUUAAGCAAAGCUGAUAAGUUAGUAAGUAGAAACACCAGUGUAUUCUUUCAAGUAGAAUUUUUGCUCUUACUGAUAUCUUAGGUGCUGUUUCUCUGGCCCUUUUAAGGAUUGGUGCUUGUCAUACACACUUUAUUAUCUAAUCUUCUGCCCAAGGAGAGAUUCUGUAGUGUUGAGUAAUUACAAAUAGAUUGAGCUCUGUUGGAAAGUGCAUUUGCAAAAAUAAAAGGAAAGCUCAUGCACUAUAAAUGUAAUUUUUUUAUUUUAUCUUCUUAAGAGGAUUUUUUUUUUUUUUACUAGCAAACACUGUGGGGAAAGAAACAUUAAUGGCAUACAUCAUAAUUUUUUAGGAAGGUGAAUGAAACUUGAAUCCUCCUGGGUUUUUGUUGUACUUGAAAUGUCCUUUGUCAUCACUUCAGAAUUGUGGUAAAAUACAAAAACGUAAUAUGUGGUAAAAUACAAAAAACAUUUUCAUAAAAGCCAUCUAUUCAACUUUAAACAGUCAUGUAAAACCAAAGAAAAUUGCAGAAAGUUUAUAUGCAAGCAAAUGCAAGGCACUCUUUCUUCAUGAGUAGAGAAGUUGAAGAAAAAGCUGUGUUUUGCUAGAGGAAAUCUGAUUAAAGAAAAGGUGUAACUCUGAACCAUGACAUGAAAAAAGUACAGUGAUGAUAAAAGCAAGGGCCAAAAGCAGCAGCUUUUAAAGUCUCUAUGGCAACAAUUUUUUAGGAGUCAGAGAAGCCACAGCAAACAGCUGGAGAUGGAAUCAGACAUUUCUUCAAUUUUAAAUAUGCUUUGGACUUACUGCCCAUGCAUCUCAGAGCACUUUGACAUCGCUAGUGAAUUUAGUCUCCUACAGUCCUCAGAGGUUGAAUGCUAUCCUCACUGGGUAGUUCAGGAAAAAGGAGAAGGAAAAGGUAAAAUGAUUUGCCAUAUGUCACUCAAGAAGACUACAAAAGAGUUAAAGAUUAAAAGAUGCUCUUAAAGACAGAAGACUUGGGAAUGUUGCCCUGGCAAAUCUGAGUGGCAAAUAUGCUUCAGUGCAGCCAUGAGUGCCAGAAGCUGGGGACUGGAUGGUAUUUCAUGAGCUAUACUCGUGUUCCAGACUAAGGUGAUGUAAGUGACCUCCAUUACUUUGUAUCUGUUCAUGUGCACUAGGUAAUCUGCAACAAAAUUUUAUUUGGGGUUACACUCAAGUUAAAAACAUUACAGCCACCAAUGCUUUUAUUAAAAGAGGAGACAUUUGAGCCAUUAAAAAUCCAAAUCAUAACACAUGACAGUGUUAAAGGUUAAAUGUACAAGCCCACUGCUUAUCUGUACACAAUAGCUACAUGACAAGUAAGCUAAUUGAAUUAAUGCAUAUUCAUACAAUAGCCCUUGCAAUGUGAUCUAAAGAUGCUUACAGUGGUGGAAUUGAUUUCUGAGACAAGAAAACAGGCCUGAGGUCCCAAGCCUAGUUAGGCAGCAGUUCAAGACAUGCAAAGCUCAGGAGGGGGAGGAGGAGGAAGGAAGAACCAGUGUCUUCAUCUCUGCUUGACUCCAUCCUACAUCUAAGGUAAUGAGUCUCCAACUGCACCUUGCCACAAAUAUAAAUUAAUAAAAGCCUCCAAUACACCCUAUUUACUAAGUAAACCAGUUUAAAUUUUGUGCUUAAAGAAUGCUGGGCACAGAAGACACUGCGUGUGCCAUCAAGGAGGUUACAAUAUAGCUAUUUUGCUGUCCUGUAGCUCAGCUGAAGCAGGUAUUUGUCUUACAAAAAUAGAAACAAGACUUGUGCUCUUUCUGCUGAUACCAGGACAUCAUUAUCAUCAAAAUAAACAAAAACUGUUUAAAUAAGUAGUUAAAGUUUUAGUUAGAGGGGCAACUUCUAGCAGCCUUAGGUCUUGUUCUGUUUCAGUAAUCGUGGUCAGUCCCAUGCACAGCCACAACUAACUAGUGGUGAUUUUAAUCAUUUUCACCAUGGAUACAAAGUACAAAGGUUUGUUUAAAAAUAUGCUGGUUAAAACAGGACUGAGCCAACUUCAAAAGCCUUUUCAAAACUGCAUACAUGGGUCCAGAGGGGAAAAAAAAAAAAGGCACCCAAGAGUUGCUCACUAUAGUGUUUUGUUUUUAAGCUCCUGACUCCAGAGUGCAAUCCAAAUCACCUCUCAGCUACGAUGUUUGCUGCUGCUUCUGCUCCAAGGAAGCAGUUGCUUCCCUGGGGACCCCACACAGCUUGUCAGCCCAGUGGAGAGCUGCGAGAGGCCAGCACAGCAUCCUGUAACCCUGGAGAGGCUGCUCUCACACUGACUCCAGAAACACAAGGAGGUCUUCUCUUCUGCUGGAGAUUGGUUACUAAGCCAGGGCACCAAUAUGUUACGGUUAACACAACAGAGGUUAGAUCAUUUACCUAAGGCUGGGAUACUUAGGUUUAAUCUCUUCCUUACUGUGAUGGGACUUAUGACCACCUCCUGCCAUCCAAACUCCAGCCUAGUCAGGAUCAGGAGUCACCAGGGAAAGACUUUGGCUUCCUUACUGUGGGGUGGGCAGAGCCCUGGUUACUAAAUGGGACCAGCCAUGUCUAUAUGUUAUCCACUCACCAGUGAAUUCAGAAUGAGUAAACACUUCUAGAGAAGAGGAUCAGAAGAUGGUGCUCUUCUGUCUCAAGCCUGUGAGAAUUUUAUACCUGUUAUACCUACCCCUUCCUCUGCUGUUUUGGUUUUGGAGACCAUGUCAGUAGGCAUGUGGUGUAUGUGUUGCCAGCCAGACGGAGCCCUCCUGAGAAGCAGCUGGUUAAAUUUACCUUUUCACUGUGUGGCUGGGACCCUGUGUGCCUCCACAGGGGUCAGCGUGGAGGGGCAGCCCCACAGAUGAGACCAGGCUCAGGUUGAGCAGUCUGGAGCAGUGACCCAGCUGCCUCCUCUUCCUCUACCCCCUCCUCGGCCCCCAGUGGCUCAAAAUGAGAAACUCAGGAAACACAGAUUCUGGGAAUGGAAUAAAAGGCACACAGAGGGAAGAUGCUUUGCUGUGUCUGACACUGCCUUUUGCUCACCUUUGGAAAAGAAAGGAUCUUUGGAGCUUUUUUAAUUCCUCUUUUUCUUUCUCCCUUUAAAGGUUUAAUCCAUGUUUCCGUAGCUUCUCUGCUAUCCACUGUGCUGGUGUGCUUUCUCUCUAUAUCUGGAGAAGGACUAUUUUACUUAUUAUAUCUUAAGACACUCAACUUUUAUUUUACAAGAACUCAUUUCCCUCCAGUUUUGUUUCCCUUCUAAACUGCCUUCAUCUGCCCCAUCCCCCAGCACCACAUUCUCUCCUGUGACAAACACCCACUAUGGCAAGUAGUGAUGCUUAUCCUGGGUCAAA